GAUGAACGCUGGCGGCGUGCCUAACACAUGCAAGUCGAGCGAACAGACAAUGAGCUUUCUCUCCUGACGGUAGCGGCGGACGGGCGAGUAACAAAUGGAUAACCUUCUUCUAUUACGUGGGUAAUUUCGUGAGACCGGUGACAAUACCGCCGCAUAUAUUGUACCGCAUGGAUCAGUAGUGCAUGACACUUUUGCCGUCUCAUAUAGCUGGAUCCGCGCCGCAUUAGCUAGUUGGUAAGGUAACGGCUUACCAAGGCGACGAUGCGUAGCUGAUCUGAGAGGGUGAUCGGCCACACUGGAACUGAGACACGGUCCAGACUCCUACGGGAGGCAGCAGUAGGGAAUCUUGCGCAAAGGGCGAAAGCCUGACCGAGCCACGCCGCGUGAGUGAAGAAGGUCUUCGGGUCGUAAAGCUCUGUUAUUGGGAAAGAACAGCAGUGGAAUUAUCCAUGGCCGUCUUGACGGUACCUAAAGAAAAAGCAACGGCUAACUUCGUG
rnacentral:rRNA from 1 species